rnacentral:rRNA from 1 species
UACGAAGGGGGCUAGCGUUGCUCGGAAUUACUGGGCGUAAAGGGCGCGUAGGCGGUUCGUCAAGUCCUGUGUGAAAUCCCCCGGCUCAACUGGGGAACUGCACAGGAAACUAGCGGGCUUGAGUUCGGGAGAGGGAAGCGGAAUUCCGGGUGUAGCGGUGAAAUGCGUAGAUAUCCGGAGGAACACCGGUGGCGAAGGCGGCUUCCUGGACCGACACUGACGCUGAGGCGCGAAAGCUAGGGGAGCAAACGGG